rnacentral:rRNA from 1 species
AUUGAACGCUGGCGGCAGGCCUAACACAUGCAAGUCGAGCGGAUGAAGGGAGCUUGCUCCUGGAUUCAGCGGCGGACGGGUGAGUAAUGCCUAGGAAUCUGCCUGGUAGUGGGGGAUAACGUCCGGAAACGGGCGCUAAUACCGCAUACGUCCUGAGGGAGAAAGUGGGGGAUCUUCGGACCUCACGCUAUCAGAUGAGCCUAGGUCGGAUUAGCUAGUUGGUGGGGUAAAGGCCUACCAAGGCGACGAUCCGUAACUGGUCUGAGAGGAUGAUCAGUCACCCUGGAAAUGAGAAACGGUCCAGACUCCUACGGGAGGCAGCAGUGGGGAAUAUUGGACAAUGGGCGAAAGCCUGAUCCAGCCAUGCCGCGUGUGUGAAGAAGGUCUUCGGAUUGUAAAGCACUUUAAGUUGGGAGGAAGGGCAGUAAGUUAAUACCUUGCUGUUUUGACGUUACCAACAGAAUAAGCACCGGCUAACUUCGUG